AAGGUACCAUUGUGUGCAAGGAAGUUUUUUGGGGUAGCCUGCAAUGAACCGCUAAUGGUACAGAUUCUGGUGGUAGUAGCCAAUUAUUGAAUGAAGCCUUGGAGGAAUUGAGUUGAGGAAGGUUUUGGGUUGACCAGGGUUGAACCAGAAGUUAUUCGUUCUAAAGUCCAGGGGGAAACCGGAAAAUUUUCAAGUAAAGAAAAAUCUAAAUAUAUUUGUCAUCUAACCGAUUUUUAUACACUUGAAUAAUUUUGAACGAAAGGGAAUACGGUUCCAAUUCCGUAACCUGUUGAGUAUCCGUUUGUUAUUAAAUAUGGCCUUCGGGUUCAUCCGGCCACCAGGAACGCCCAUAAAGAACCCGUCGAGAGGUAUCGGAAGAGUUUUCUUUUCUGUUUAAUACCCGUACUCCCAUGGAAGUCUUUCGCAAAGAGAUAUGGUAGAUGGGCUAGAAGAGCAUGACAUAUACUGUUGUGUCGAUAUUUUCUCCUCGGCCCUUGAAAAUUUAUGGUGGGGACACGCAAACUUCUCAACAGGCCGUACCAAUAUCCGCAGCUGGUCUCCAAGGUGAAGAGUCUCUAGUCGAUAGAAUAAUGUAGGUAAGGGAAGUCGGCAAAUUAGAUCCGUAACUUCGGGAUAAGGAUUGGCUCUGAAGAUUGAGAUAGUCGGGCUUGAUUGGGAAACAAUAACAUGGUUUAUGUGCUCGUUCUGGGUAAAUAAAGUUUCUAUCAUUUAUGGUAGUUUCUUGUUCCCCGGAUAGUUUAGUUACGUAGCCAAUUGUGGAACUUUCUUGCUAAAAUUUUUAAGAAUACUAGUUGGGCUACCAAUUAGUUCUUUUAAAUUAUAACCAAUAUCAAUUAACAAUCCAUUCCAAACUGGCACGGACUUGGGGAAUCCCACUGGCUAAUUAAAACCAAGCAUUGGGAUGGCCCCAACGGGUGGUGACCCCAUGUGAUUUCCGCCCCGUGCUCCGAAUGGCCAAAUGAAAAAAUUCCAGUUAGCCCCGGUCCACCGCGGGAAUUACUAUGACUCCCCUUAGGGAACCCAAUGCCUCCUCCUCCUAUUAAUGACCCCCCUGAAUGGAAUAACCAAAAUCCUACUGGCCCUAACCUCUCCAUUCCUUUCAAAACAUCGUUGGGAACCGAACUUGU
rnacentral:ncRNA from 1 species